UGGCCAAAGCCAUUUAAUAAUUUCCUAAAGGUGCGGUCACUAAGGCUACGUUCACCCUGCAGGCAGAUGUGGCCCAAACGUUUUGAUGACAUGUGACAGAUCUGUUUUUAUCAUGACAGUGUGAACAGCACAAACCACAUGAAUCUGAUCUCUUCAACUCGGAUUUGAUCAACAUUUGUUACGAUUCUGCGCUCAUGGGAGUCACUUCAAAGAUUUUACACACCCAGAGUUAUCAAGAGAUGCGAAAGAUUUCCUGCACAUAAUUUUGCUGGCUUCUGCGUCAGAUCACACUUUAAAUAAAUGAAUAAUCGCUUACUUUAUGUCCUCCAUGUUUACUUCGUAUGACAGUGUGUUCGCAAGUUAUACUUCAGAAUUGGGCUACUGCGUGGGUUGAAGCGACCCCACUUACGUGAUUAUAGACUCAACUCAACAAUAUUUAUAUAGCACCAAUAAAAACAACGAUUGUUGGCCAAGGUGCUGUACAAUCAAUCAAAAAUCAAAACAGUCAGAACAUCAUAAAUGACAGAACAGAGCAGAGCUAACACCACACAAUUAAAAGCUAGAUAAAAAAGAUAGGUAUUGGGUUGGCCUGUUAACUAAUUCAGUGUAGAGGCACUUCUAAUAGAAACCGUUGGCUGUUCGUGAGUUUCAGAGCAGCAACAGCAAAGGCUCGGUCACCUCUUGAUUUCAAUUCAGCCAGAAGAACAUUUAAUAGUCUGUGGUUGGAAGACCUAAGACCUUACAGGGUUGUGAGCAGAUAGUAAAAAAUAAAAUUAAGGAAUUUGUCACACAACAGACUCUGUAGGGAAGAGAUCAACUGAAGGAUUAAUGGUGGAAAAAUAGCUUUUGAUUUGUGAAAGUUCUUUUCAAUUAAAAUCUGAAAAGUACUUAAACUUAGCUGUUUUUAAAACACUUUCUGAAAUUGUAUCAGACUUGAAGCUAAUCUUUUUCCCACUUUCUUUUGGCCCUUCUACAGCCCUGUCUAAGAGCACGAGUAUCCUCAUUGUAUGUGUUGCUUGGCUUUUUUAGGAGCCAGAGUUUAAAAUAUUAGCAGAGAUAGUUUUAAAAUAAUUAAGAUCAUCUGCACCACUCCAAUCACAAACCAAGUCGGUUGAUUGGGUUACCUCCUUAAAAACAGCUGAAAACUCAGUACAAAUAGUUGGUGUGAUCCUACACGACCAACAGACACCAUUAUUAGGUGGAGUUAUGGUAACAUUUGUGGGGUCUCUGAACGUAAUAGCAAAUCUUUUGCAAAAUCACAUACUGACAAACCACGAGAAAGCACUAAAUCAAGGGUAUGACCUUGUGUAUGAGUAGUAAGCUGUGCCAAAUCAAAAGAGUCAAUAAGACUCAAAAAAUUCUCUGGCUAAGAGAUUAUCUGAGCAACACAAGUUUGUGUGUUAAAAUCCCCUAGGAUUAAAAGUCUAUAAAAAUUGGGGAUGAUUUACCCUAAAUAGACUGAAAACUUGUUAAUAAAGACCUAAUGUGGUUUAGGUGGACGAUAAAUGACUGAGAUCCCUAUUGGAUUAUCCAGUUCCAAAACUGGAACAGACAUCCAUCGCUAACAUCCGACGACAAUAAUUCUCUUUAAAAACAGAAGCCCGUCCAUCACCUCGACUCCCAGAGCGAGGAGAGUUUAAGAAUUUGCAAUCAGAUGGUACCAGUUCAGAAAAUGGGUUCAGGUCCCCUGGAGCGAGCCCAGUUUGCAUGAAUUAAAGUCAUUGAUGAUAACCAUUUUGUUUGACACUGACCUGGCGUUAAUCAGUGACA